UGAGUAACACGUAUCCAACCUGCCGUCUACUCUUGGACAGCCUUCUGAAAGGAAGAUUAAUACAAGAUGGCAUCAUGAGUUCACAUGUUCACAUGAUUAAAGGUAUUCCGGUAGACGAUGGGGAUGCGUUCCAUUAGAUGGUAGGCGGGGUAACGGCCCACCUAGUCUUCGAUGGAUAGGGGUUCUGAGAGGAAGGUCCCCCACAUUGGAACUGAGACACGGUCCAA
rnacentral:rRNA from 1 species